UUGACCUCGGAUCAGGUAGGAAUACGCGCUGAACUUAAGCAUAUCAAUAAGCGCAGGAAAAGAAACCAACAGGGAUUGCCUCAGUAACGGCGAGUGAAGCGGCAACAGCUCAAAUUUGAAAUCUGGCCUCUUGGGGUCCGAGUUGUAAUUUGUAGAGGAUGUUUUGGGUACCGCCCCGGUUUAAAUUUCUUGGAACAGAAUGUCAGAGAGGGUGAGAAUCCCGUCUUGGACCGGUGGUAGGGCCUGUGUAAAACUCCUUCGACGAGUCGAGUUGUUUGGGAAUGCAGCUCAAAAUGGGUGGUAAAUUUCAUCUAAAGCUAAAUAUUGGCCAGAGACCGAUAGCGCACAAGUAGAGUGAUCGAAAGAUGAAAAGCACUUUGAAAAGAGAGUUAAACAGUAUGUGAAAUUGUUGAAAGGGAAGCGCUUACAACCAGACUUGCGCGCGGCGGUUCCCCUUGCCUUUUGGUUAGGCUACUCCGCCGCGUCCAGGCCAACAUCGGUUUCGGGGGCCAGUUAAAGGCCCUGGGAAUGUACCUACCCACGGGUAGACUUAUAGACCAGGGUGCCAUGUGGCCUUCCGGGACCGAGGAACGCGCUUCGGCUCGGAUGUUGGCGUAAUGGUUGUCAGCGACCCGUCUUGAAACACGGACCAAGGAGUCUAACAUCUAUGCGAGUGUUUGGGUGUCAAACCCGGAACGCGGAAUGAAAGUGAACGGAGGUAGGAAGCUUCGGCUGCACUAUCGACCGAUCCUGAAGUUUACGGAUGGAUUUGAGUAAGAGCAUAGCUGUUGGGACCCGAAAGAUGGUGAACUAUGCCUGAAUAGGGUGAAGCCAGAGGAAACUCUGGUGGAGGCUCGCAGCGGUUCUGACGUGCAAAUCGAUCGUCAAAUUUGGGUAUAGGGGCGAAAGACUAAUCGAAC
rnacentral:rRNA from 1 species